rnacentral:rRNA from 1 species
GACGAACGCUGGCGGCGUGCUUAACACAUGCAAGUCGAACGGAAAGGCCCAGCUUGCUGGGUGCUCGAGUGGCGAACGGGUGAGUAACACGUGGGUGAUCUGCCUCUAACUUCGGGAUAAGCUUGGGAAACUGGGUCUAAUACCGGAUAGGACAAUCGUUUAGUGUCGGUUGUGGAAAGUUUUUUCGGUUAGGGAUGAGCCCGCGGCCUAUCAGCUUGUUUGUGGGGUAAUGGCCUACCAAGGCGUCGACGGGUAGCCGGCCUGAGAGGGUGGACGGCCACAUUGGGGCUGAGAUACGGCCCAGACUCCUGCGGGAGGCAGCAGUGGGGAAUAUUGCACAAUGGGCGCAAGCCUGAUGCAGCGACGCCGCGUGGGGGAUGACGGCCUUCGGGUUGUAAACCUCUUUCGACAGGGACGAAGCUUUGGUGACGGUACCUGUAGAAGAAGCACCGGCUAACUACGUG